rnacentral:rRNA from 1 species
UGGGGAAUAUUGCGCAAUGGGCGAAAGCCUGACGCAGCAACGCCGCGUGAGUGAUGAAGGCCUUCGGGUCGUAAAGCUCUGUCGGAGGGAACGAAUGCUCCUGAAGUUAACAGCCUCAGGAGGUGACGGUACCCUCAAAGGAAGCACCGGCUAACUUCGUGCCAGCAGCCGCGGUAAUACGAAGGGUGCAAGCGUUACUCGGAAUUACUGGGCGUAAAGCGUGCGUAGGUGGUCGUUUAAGUCCGUUGUGAAAGCCCUGGGCUCAACCUGGGAACUGCAGUGGAUACUGGAGGACUAGAGUGUGGUAGAGGGUAGCGGAAUUCCUGGUGUAGCAGUGAAAUGCGUAGAUAUUGGGAAGAACACCAGUGGCGUAAGCGACUUGCUGGCCCGUAACUGACGCUGAGGAACGAAAGCCAGGGGAGCGAAUGGGAUUAGAUACCCUGGUAGUCCCUGAGCGGGCUGGCAAGGCGCAU